rnacentral:rRNA from 1 species
UAGGGAAUCUUCGGCAAUGGGGGCAACCCUGACCGAGCAACGCCGCGUGAGUGAAGAAGGUUUUCGGAUCGUAAAGCUCUGUUGUAAGUCAAGAACGGGUGUGAGAGUGGAAAGUUCACACUGUGACGGUAGCUUACCAGAAAGGGACGGCUAACUACGUGCCAGCAGCCGCGGUAAUACGUAGGUCCCGAGCGUUGUCCGGAUUUAUUGGGCGUAAAGCGAGCGCAGGCGGUUUGAUAAGUCUGAAGUUAAAGGCUGUGGCUCAACCAUAGUUCGCUUUGGAAACUGUCAAACUCGAGUGCAGAAGGGGGAGAGUGGAAUUCCAUGUGUAGCGGUGAAAUGCGUAGAUAUAUGGAGGAACACCGGUGGCGAAAGCGGCUCUCUGGUCUGUAACUGACGCUGAGGCUCGAAAGCGUGGGGAGCGAACAGGAUUAGAUACCCUGGUAGUCCACGCCGUAAACGAUGAGUGCUAGGUGUUGGAUCCUUUCCGGGAUUCAGUGCCGCAGCUAACGCAUUAAGCACUCCGCCUGGGGAGUACGACCGCAAGGUUGAAAC